rnacentral:sRNA from 1 species
GGAGGAUGUGUUGGAGGACAACUACAUAAAGAGACAAAAAAAAAAAAAAAAAAAAAAAGAGCAAAGAUCUGUGCUGUGUCAUGUAUGACAGCCAUCACUCAUGGCUCUCCACUAGGAGGGAACGACAGCCAGGGCCAGGUUCUUGAUGGCCAGUCUCAGCAUCUCUUCCAACAGAACCAGACUUCAUCACCUGAUUCUUCCAAUGAGAAUUCCGUAGCAACUCCUCCUCCAGAGGAACAAGGGCAAGGUGAUGCCCCACCACAGCAUGAAGAUGAAGAUCCUGCAUUUCCACAUACUGAGCUGGCAAAGCUGGAUGACAUGAUCAACAGGUGCAUUUGUUUGGAUGUUUUAUUAAUGGAUGCAGUAAACUAGAAAAGCAAAACUACUUCCAGCAUUGCAACUAGUAGUAAAUGAGAAAAAGAAAAGAGUAGAUUGUAGUGUCUCAAGUCUUACUAUUUUAAUAGCCUGAACAUUUUAGUCCUAGCUGAACACUUUGCAGCUCAUUGUACUUAAUGCAGGCAUUUCUUAUGGAUUUUAAAUAUUGGAAGGUAAUGACAAUAUGAAUACAGUUUCAGAUUAAUGAUGCUUUAUGAACCCUUCCUGUGUUUCUAGCGUAGACAAAUAGGUAGGUAUUUUGUUUUGAAUAUUUACAAACAUUUCUCUUUGAUAAGAACUUUAUACCAGAGUUCUGGAGAACUUUUCUCACUUGUGGAAUGUCCAUUUGCUACAGCAGAGACCUUAUUGCAGAAGGUUGUAUUGCUUCUUUCUCUGUUUUGUUUAGCGGUUGCUGAUU